UCGAGGAUCUUCGGCAAUGAGCGCAAGCUUGACCGAGCGACGCCGCGUGCGGGAUGAAGGCUUUCGGGUUGUAAACCGCUGUCAGUGGGGAGGAAAUUUAUGAGGGUACUCUCUCAUGAUUGACUUAUCCGCAGAGGAAGCAAGGGCUAAGUUCGUGCCAGCAGCCGCGGUAAGACGAACCUUGCUAACGUUAUUCGGAAUUACUGGGCUUAAAGGGUGCGUAGGCGGUGCAGAAAGUCGGGUGUGAAAUCCCUCAGCUCAACUGAGGAACUGCAUCCGAAACUGCUGUGCUAGAGGAAGAUAGAGGUACGCGGAACUUAGGGUGGAGCGGUGAAAUGCGUUGAUAUCCUAAGGAACACCGGUGGCGAAAGCGGCGUACUGGGUCUUUUCUGACGCUGAGGCACGAAAGCUAGGGUAGCGAACGGGAUUAGAUACCCGCGUAGUCC
rnacentral:rRNA from 1 species